rnacentral:rRNA from 1 species
GAUGAACGCUGGCGGCGUGCCUAAUACAUGCAAGUCGAGCGAACGGACGAGAAGCUUGCUUUUCUGAUGUUAGCGGCGGACGGGUGAGUAACACGUGGAUAACCUACCUAUAAGACUGGGAUAACUUCGGGAAACCGGAGCUAAUACCGGAUAAUAUUUUGAACCGCAUGGUUCAAAAGUGAAAGACGGUUUUGCUGUCACUUAUAGAUGGAUCCGCGCCGCAUUAGCUAGUUGGUAAGGUAACGGCUUACCAAGGCGACGAUGCGUAGCCGACCUGAGGGGGUGAUCGGCCACACUGGAACUGAGACACGGUCCAGACUCCUACGGGAGGCAGCAGUAGGGAAUCUUCCGCAAUGGGCGAAAGCCUGACGGAGCAACGCCGCGUGAGUGAUGAAGGUCUUCGGAUCGUAAAACUCUGUUAUUAGGGAAGAACAAAUGUGUAAGUAACUAUGCACGUCUUGACGGUACCUAAUCAGAAAGCCACGGCUAACUACGUG